UAACAUUUCUAGCUUGCUAGAAGAUGACGAGUGGCGGACGGGUGAGUAAUGCUUGGGAACUUGCCUUUGCGAGGGGGAUAACAGUUGGAAACGACUGCUAAUACCGCAUAAUGUCUUCGGACCAAACGGGGCUUCGGCUCCGGCGCAAAGAGAGGCCCAAGUGAGAUUAGCUAGUUGGUAAGGUAACGGCUUACCAAGGCGACGAUCUCUAGCUGUUCUGAGAGGAAGAUCAGCCACACUGGGACUGAGACACGGCCCAGACUCCUACGGGAGGCAGCAGUGGGGAAUAUUGCACAAUGGGGGAAACCCUGAUGCAGCCAUGCCGCGUGUGUGAAGAAGGCCUUCGGGUUGUAAAGCACUUUCAGUUGUGAGGAAAAGUUAGUAGUUAAUACCUGCUAGCCGUGACGUUAACAACAGAAGAAGCACCGGCUAACUCCGUGCCAGCAGCCGCGGUAAUACGGAGGGUGCGAGCGUUAAUCGGAAUUACUGGG
rnacentral:rRNA from 1 species